AUCUAUGUACGACCUAGAGAUAAAACAAUCAGCUAUGCUGAUGGCCAAAUGUAAGGAGUGUGGUGACCACUUCUGAGCUGGAGAAGACUUUCAGACAAAAAGCCAUCAAAAUAUGAAAGCUAAAAUUUUCAGCUCAAAGUUGGAAAGGAGUGACAAGAAGGGAUAUGCUCAAUGUGAACCUGAUCUUAGUGGGAAAGAAUACCAUUAAGUAUCAUUCUCACCAUUAAAUGAUCUGAUCCACCCAUGCCUGCUGACCAUCAGCCACAGAUCAUUGGCUUGUCUUAUGGCAAAGUCAGUACACACUGGAACGUGGUUGCCUCAUCUGAAUGCCCGAGGAAAGUCUACAAGCUUCUCUCUCUUUCAAGUUGCUCUCUUUCUCGUCUGCCUCUUUGCACCAGAUCUGCCAGCCUCCAGGAGCUGAGAGGGGCAAGAUAGCGACGAGGCCCCAUCCUAGUGUAUGGUGUGUCAGUUGCUAACAUGGGUUCAUGGUGGUGGGUCCUUCUGUCUGUAUUCAAAAUCAUAGCAAUCCAUUUAGGCACCGCUGUUCCUUCCAGGCAAAUGUGCAAUAACACAGUUGGCCCAUUAACAUUGCAGCUGCAUAGAAGAUUAGUCACUUUGCGCUGUGCUGCCUGGUUAAAGCAUCCACGACCACUUACGGAAUUUGGGAAUAGCACUGCUGCAAUGAGCUGAUGCACUGUUUACAAUCAUUCUCAAUACAGACAACACAUCAUUCUUGGUUUUCUGUGUGGGUUGGGUGGCUGAAAACAUCUCCCACCAAGCUGAUACUUCUUAUACAGCUCUAGAGUGGGGGAAAAAAAGAGCCUUCCUGAUGCUCCUUCUGCUCUCCAUUGGGAUUCUCCAUUGAGGAAAAAGAUGGGUUUCAUCAACCGUCCCAAGAAAAUAGGCUGAUAACUUCCUCAAUUAAACUGUGGCUUCUUAAAUUCAGGGCUUGUGAUUGGUUACAAUGGAUCCUGAAGCCUCUACAGGAUAAGAACUACGCAUGAUUCUCCUGAAGCAUUUAACAGCAUGGCACAUGCUGUUAGCCCCUUUGGUUUUAAUUUAUCCUGAGAAACGCAUCUCUUUUCAUGCAAAUAUUUUGUAGAUAUUGACGUAUGGACAUUUUAAAGAUUUUAGGAUAAAUGGAAUACAACUUUGCAGAAGCUAUUUCCGUUUUCACUCCACGUCUUAAAUAUAAGGAAGAAAGGCCCUUGGCACAAAGGGUGAGCUUAUCUCCAAACGUUCACUGGAGUUGGCUUCUUUGGCCCUCUCUGGGAUGUGAAGCGACAACAAUGUGAAAUAGCUCUCAAGUGCAAAAAUAACUAAUGGCAUCUGAAGGAGUUAGGCCAAAGAUGGCAAAUACCUCAUCCCAGGGUUUCAACUGAAAGCUGACCACACUUACCACAUUUCCACUUUGGAACAAAAUGAGGGGCGCCUGAGUGGCUCAGUCAGUUAAGCACCCGGCUCAUGACUUU